UGGCUGUAAUGGUCUAAGGGGGACGACUCUUGCAAUUCUCAAUUUCCUUUGCUCCAUGUCCGGCCUUGUGUUGGGUCAAUACGUCGCCCAGUGCGAACGCCGCGGUGGCCGCCCACUCGCACGGGUAACCUGUGAUGCUGGUAAUUUGUGGCCCUAAGCAAUCGGGGAUGAUACUUCAGGGAGGCUUCACUCUGCAGAGACAUCCUCACCGUCGCGUGGCGGACUGGAUUACGAUCGUACUUGAGUUGGAACGGGGUUUGAGAUGAGGAAGUCAACUUCCAUUU
rnacentral:SRP_RNA from 1 species